rnacentral:rRNA from 1 species
UACGUAGGGUGCAAGCGUUAAUCGGAAUUACUGGGCGUAAAGCGUGCGCAGGCGGUUAUGUAAGACAGAUGUGAAAUGCCCGGGCUUAACCUGGGAACUGCAUUUGUGACUGCAUGGCUAGAGUUUGGCAGAGGGGGGUAGAAUUCCACGUGUAGCAGUGAAAUGCGUAGAUAUCUGGAGGAACACCGGUGGCGAAGGCGGCAUCCUGGACCGAUACUGACGCUGAGGAGCGAAAGCCAGGGGAGCAAACGGG